rnacentral:rRNA from 1 species
AAACCGUUCAGGGGUAAACCUGAGAAACCCGAAAGAUCGAAUGGGGAGAUUCAUCGUCAGCGCGGUUGGCUUUCGCCGCGGGUUGCGAUGUCGCCGGCGGGCGGGUACCUUCACGGGUCCCGUUCGUCACGCGCGGCACGCUCCCGUGCGAAUGCGUCCGGCCGCGUCGGCGUGCACUUCUCCCCUAGUAGAACGUCGCGACCCGCUGGGUGUCGGUCUACGGGGCCGCGUCAUUAGGCCGUCGCGGGCGCUUCACGGCGCCCGUUGGCGGAGGCGUGGAUAUCCCCCGAUCGACUGCCCGGCGGUACACGCACGGUAUCGAGCCGCACAUUUUAACUGCGUUCUGGCCCGUCGCAAGCUCGCUCGUGUUCACUUUGGACGAUUCGGACCUCGAAGCCGACGCCGAAGCCGAGCAGCUGUUGGCGCACGGUGUCCUCGAACAGGCUCACCCACGCCGAGUCCCUCGGGCUCGCGGGUACCGGUCGGCGACGCUAUUGCUUUGGGUACUUUCAGGA